UACAGAGGGGGCAAGCGUUGUUCGGAAUUACUGGGCGUAAAGGGCGCGUAGGUGGCCUUCUAAGUUGAACGUGAAAUCCCUGGGCUCAACCCAGGAACUGCGUCCAAGACUGGGAGGCUUGAAUCCGGGAGAGGGAUGCGGAAUUCCAGGUGUAGCGGUGAAAUGCGUAGAUAUCUGGAGGAAUACCGGUGGCGAAGGCGGCAUCCUGGACCAUUACUGACGCUGAGGCGCGAAAGCGUGGGGAGCAAACAGG
rnacentral:rRNA from 1 species